CAGCAGUAUUAUGACUGAAGCAGGCACAAG
rnacentral:piRNA from 1 species